rnacentral:rRNA from 1 species
CGAAAGCCUGACGGAGCAAUACCGCGUGAGGGAAGAAGGCUUUUGGGUUGUAAACCUCUUUUGUCAGGGAAGAAGAAUUGACGGUACCUGAAGAAAAAGCAUCGGCUAACUCCGUGCCAGCAGCCGCGGUAAUACGGAGGAUGCAAGCGUUAUCCGGAAUCAUUGGGCGUAAAGGGUCCGCAGGUGGCGAAUAAAGUCUGCUGUUAAAGACCGGGGCUUAACUCCGGAAAGGCAGUGGAAACUGAUUAGCUAGAGUACGGUAGGGGUAGAGGGAAUUCCCAGUGUAGCGGUGAAAUGCGUAGAUAUUGGGAAGAACACCGGUGGCGAAAGCGCUCUACUAGGCCGAAACUGACACUGAGGGACGAAAGCUAGGGUAGCGAAAGGGAUUAGAUACCCCUGUAGUCUCAGCGGUAAACGAUGGAUACUAGGUGUAGCUUGUAUCGACCCGAGCUGUGCCGAAGCUAACGCGAUAAGUAUCCCGCCUGGGGAGUACGCACGCAAGUGUGAAACUCAAAGGAAUUGACGGGGGCCCGCACAAGCGGUGGAGUAUGUGGUUUAAUUCGAUGCAACGCGAAGAACCUUACCAGGGCUUGACAUGUCGCGAAUCUAGCGGAAACGUUAGAGUGCCUUAGGGAAUGCGAACACAGGUGGUGCAUGGCUGUCGUCAGCUCGUGUCGUGAGAUGUUGGGUUAAGUCCCGCAACGAGCGCAACCCUCGUCCUUAGUUGCCAAUAUUAAGUUAGGCACUCUAGGGGGACUGCCGGGGACAACUCGGAGGAAGGUGGGGAUGACGUCAAGUCAGCAUGCCCCUUACGUCCUGGGCGACACACGUACUACAAUGGUUGGGACAAAGGGCAGCAAGCUCGCGAGAGUAAGCGAAUCUCAUCAAACCCAGCCACAGUUCAGAUUGCAGGCUGCAACUCGCCUGCAUGAAGUAGGAAUCGCUAGUAAUCGCAGGUCAGCAUACUGCGGUGAAUUCGUUCCCGGGCCUUGUACACACCGCCCGUCACACCAUGGAAGCUGGCUACGCCCGAAGUCGUUACCCUAACCCGGUUUUGGGAGGGGGAUGCCGAAGGUAGAGCUAGUGACUGGGGUGAAGUCGUAACAAGGUAGCCGUACCGGAAGGUGUGGCUGGAUCACCUCCCUU